UCAUCACAAUCACCAGGUCGGCAUUCAGGAUGGUGUGGACGCGGUGCUGUGAGGCGGUGGGGAGGAAAAACAAUCAGAUAAACACCCCCCACACCCUGAUCCUCUCUCUCCAUCUAUAUUUCUCCUCUCCACAGUCUGCAGGCUGAUGCGGGCGCCGGGGGACAUACUCACGGCGAUAGUUACUACUGUUCGGUCGGCAAAGGCAGUCAUCACCACCUUCUGCAGGAUGCUCUCCUGUGGGGACAGAGGCGGUGGGGGGUGAGCGGCUCCUGCACGUUGAUGUGAACGGAUCAAGAUCAAAGCAAACAAAGCGACGUCACCGGCUGACACGUCCAACUUCCCUUCAAGCUCAGUCUCUUGUUCAUCAUCUCGGCGCCUGUCAUUAAAUACGAUGUUUCCUCAAGGGCAGCGCUGCUACAGUGCGUUAUUGUAAGAGGAAAUGGAGGUUUUUGCCGUCGACCAUUCAAGAGAGAGGGUCAGAAGCAGCCAUUUGUCGCCCCCCGGGCUUUUACUGUGCUGAGUAGCUGAGUAGCUUCCUUCCAUUUCAGCCUUUUUCUCUCUGCUGCCUGUGUUCAUGCCUCCUCCUCCACUCCUGCUCUAUUUUUAUCCUCCCCUGAUGUACUGAAAACCGAGUAUAAGAGAUGCUUCCUCCUCCCUCUCUCAUUGUUCUCUGCAACCAGGACUCUAGACCGCGGCUCGCGUCACCUUCACCUUUCGCUCUCGCGUCCUGCGUGCGCGCGCCGCCCACAUUGAUCACCCGCCGCCUUAACGAGGCACUGACCGUUGCCAUGUCGAUGGACGCGGUGGCUUCGUCCAUGAUUAGGAUGCUGCUCUUCCUGACGAAGGCUCUGGCCAGACAGAACAGCUGCCUCUGGCCCUGGCUGAAGUUCUCUCCUCCCUCCGUCACCACCGCAUCUGAACCAAAACACAUGCGCUUUAAUUGACUUCAUUUAAUAAAUAGAGUCAGAUGGCCAAUAUUUAGAUUUAUGUAAAUUCCUAUGCAGCAGGCUGCUUUACAUGGAGCACACAGCACCACCGUGACCCCGCGCUACCAGAGGGAAGGGUAAUCAGCCAUUAACUCUUGGCUUGUGGAUCGAUAAUGUAUUGAUUUUCUUCAGUGCAUGUUAUAAAUAUUCCACCAUGUUUCUCGUGUUGGAAAUAAUUACAUUUUUAAAAAAGGCUUA